GGAGAUAAUGAUGCUUCGUGGGAUGUGUGGGCACACGAGAAAUGAUAAGAUUGGGAAUGAGGAUAUCCGAGGUAAAGUAGGAAUAGCCGAAGUUGAAGGAAAUAUGAGAGAAAAUCGGUUACGGUUGUUUGGACAUGCGCAAAGAAUGCCUACUGACGCUCCGGUUCGAAGAUGUGACUACGAGACAGGUUCGGGGCCGAAGGGGUAGAGGAAGACCUAGGAAAACUUUGGAAGAGACCCUAAGAAAAGACUUAGAGUACUUGGAUCUAACGGAGGACAUGACACAAAACCGAGCGCAAUGGCGUUCUAGGAUUCAUAUAGCCGACCUCACUUAGUGGGAAAAGGCUUUGUUGUUAUUUCUAGCGUGUUCCGUUCUUCGUUGCUUCGUGAUUCUCAUUUUUCAGUGUUGAGUGAUGGAAAUUUGUUAAAGUAGUUGUAGUUUUUUGAGAAAGUUGGCAUUUUAGUUAUAUUUUCUGUUUAUUCCCAAAUGUAAGACUGGAAAAUAAUUGAAAUGAUGGUUUUUUUAAAAACUUCUCAUAAUUUGUUUUCUGGGAUUUAAAAGCAUCUUUUCCGGAUUGGUUACAAGGAUUAUGUUCUCUUCAAUUGUUUCACCUAAUUUUUGUUAUUUUAAGUUUUGUCUUUUAAGAUAUGUAUUAAGUCCUGUAAUGAGAGAUAUCUGUUGGCCUUUCGGAUUUUGGCAUGGGAAAGUUCACUUAUUUGUCUAAUUAGAUUGCAUAUGCCUUUGAUUCUUUAUUUAAUUCUUCUGUUUGCGUUCGGAUGUGAUUAUCUAAAUUUCAUAUGUUUGGAAUUAUUCACUUAACACCAAUUUGUUACAUUCAAAUCUCCACCCCACAUUUCACAAGUUAAAAUUCCAUAGAAGUCGGUUCUGCAGAUUGCGUCUGCAAUUAGAUCAGAGAUCAACCGCUCUUUUGUUAUCCUGCGGAAGAUUGCUUUUGGGAAGGAUAUGAAGCAGUUCCUCUCUGGAUAGGAGAAACAAAGAGGAUGACACUUAUAACUGCCCCUCCCCAUCGGCCCUCUUCAAAUUUGGAUCACAAGAAGGGAGCAACAUAGAUGUUGUCCUUCUUCAUUUAUAUAUGGAACUGCGAUCCAGUGGCCGGAUAGAAGAAAAGGACAACGCAUGCUCUCUCUCUCUCUCUCUCUCUCUCUCAGUGGCUCUUUGUUCCUCUCCCCCCAAACCUAAUGGCUUCGGCUUUGUUCUGAUCAGACCCACCUCCAAAACCCUUCCUUGAUCACCAUUUUCAACAACCCAAUUUGGAGCCUGCUCGGAUUGGGACCUCUUGGAGAUUCGGCGCCCCAAGCAAGCAGAAUGAUGUAAAUCCUUGGCGAUUUACAGUGGCUUUGAAGGGUUGGACUUGCUCUUAUAAAGUUCUGGUAGACAAACUGCUUUGGAGCCAGCAGCACUCAGCAGCCAGAGCAGCAGUGUCUCUCUUCCUCAUUGCAAAAUGGGUGUUUUCAGGUCAACUGAGGAUUCAAAUCCAGCGGGUCCAGCUCAAGAUAUAGAUAAACAAUUCCAACUCUUAAAAAGGAAGUGAAAAGUGCAUUCUUCACAAAGGCAAAAUAGAGAACAGAUUAUACUUCAUAUGAAAGAAGAGGUCAGUUUGAUUGUCAUUGCUUUUUUUCAUAGGGAACUUUAACGAAAAGCACUCGGUACUAUUCACUUUAACGAAAAACCACAUUUUUACACUAAAAAGUCAAUCAUGGUACUAUUCACUUUACCCUUUAUUUUGUCCUUAUCAUUAAAACUCAAAGUUUUCAAGCUUUUUUCAUUAGUUUUCCUUUUUUCAUAUGGUUAACUUCUAAGUUACUUGGCUUACGUCUAAUUUAAUUGUUUGCUUGCCCAAGUUAAAGUCAUUCGUUUUAUUAAUGCUGGUGAACAAAAUCAACCUAAGUUAAUGUUAAAACAAUAUCAAAUUUUCCAUUAGUCUUGAUUGUCUUAACCCUUUUCUUUUCCGUUUUUACCAAAAUUUCAUGAAAUUUUUGCAAGUUUUUUUUUUUUUUUUUACAGAAAUUAAGUUGAUUUACUAUUUUACUCUCUCUUGGUAGAAUUUUCUUAUUCAUUGUUCAAAAUUAGUAUUGCAAAUUUUAAGUGGUGGAACAUACCCAAAUUAAACCUAAAGUUGCACCAAAUUAAACUUAUAUUGAAGUGUUCUUCAGCUGCAAAUGUGGACGUGGCCAUAUUUCAAGAUAUGUUCCCACCCCAUCCCUUGGUGCAAACAAAUUUAUAUUAAUACAAAAAAAAAAGUUUGUAUCAAGAAAACUAAGAACUAAGAACAAAAUUGGUCUAGAACAAAGGAUUAUACAUUAGUAUAUCCAUAAUUGAAGGAUUUAAGCCCUUUCCAUACAUUGAAGGAUUUAAGCCCUUUCCAUACAUUAGUAUCAAGAAAACUAAUAAACAAUAUGUGAAGGUUGAAUAGUUGACUUAGUUGACUUGCAAGCAGGCGAGAAUAUAAAGGUCGUACCCAGUGCACAAGGCUCCCGCUUUACGCAGGGUCUGAGAGAGGUGAAUGUCGGCUAGCCUUAUCCCCAUUUAUGGAGAGGCUGCUCCCAAGUCUCGAACCCGAGAUCUACCGUUUAUGGGCGAAGGCACUUGCCAUCGCACCCUAAGUUUUAUACAAACAUUUAAAGGGUUAAAUUGGAAUGCACCCUGCAGAAACUUCAAAGAAAUAAAGUUUAUCUAGAAAGAAAAGGACAUGUAUACGUAACGGAGUAAAAAUAUGAUGGUGGUGUUCAAGGUAAUUUGGAUUAUAUUUGCUUUCUGUAUUGCAUUUGCUUUCUUAAAUUGAGAGUUAUUAUAAUCUAAAUAGAGCUGACUUGAAUGGCCAUUUUUUCUGUAUUGUGUUUGCUUUCUUACAUUGAUUCCUUUUUGUUGAUAAAUGUAAGGGUAAAUUACAAAAAACUAACUCAACUAUUGGUGUCACGACACUUUCAUAUCUCAUCUUUUAAAAUUGAUAAUGUCAUACCUCAUCUUACGAAUUUGUGCCAAUGUUAUACCUUCCGUUACUUGACCAUGAAUUUUUCAGUUAAAUGCUAACGUGGCUUGAAUCGGGGCCCACUUUCUAUUAAAAAAUUAUUUAGUAUUUUUUAAAUAUUAAAAUAAUAAAGAAAAGUAAAUAAAAAUAAAAUAAAAUAAAACCUUAGGUCAGUUUGUCCCUCCCCCUUCUCUCUUCCCCAUCUUCCUGCAACCCAGAAAGGAGGAAGAAAAAAAAAAUUGACAAAUUGGUUUUUUUUUUUUUUUUUUUUUUUUCUGGGUUGCAAUUGGAAGGGGGAAGAAGAUGAAGAUGGGUGCGGAGAGUGGGUGUGGGGAAGACAAAUUGGUUUUUUUUUUCUCUUCUUUUUUCUGGGUUGCAGUUGCAAGAAGGGGGAAGAAGAUGAAGAUGGGGAGGAGAGAGAAAGGGGGGGGAAGGGGACGAACUGGGUGUUGGUUGGUUUUUUUAUUUUUUUAUUUUAUAUAACUUUUCUUUAUUAUUUUAAUAUUUAAAAAAAAUUAAAUGAUUUUUUUUAGUUUUUAAUAAUUUUUUUAACAGAAAAUGGGCCCCAGAUCAAGCCACAUCAACAUUUAACUGAGAAAUUUAUGCCAAGCUAACGGAAGGUAUAACGUUGGCAUAAAUUCGUAAAAUGAGGUAUGACAUUGUCAAUUUUAAAAGAUGAGGUAUGAAAGUGUCGUGCCACCAAUAGUUGAGAUAAUUUUUUGUAAUUUACCCUAAAUGUAAUUUGGUUUUGUAGGUCAAGGUUUUUCAGCAAAAAAUUAAGUUGCAAAUUCAUUUGAGGUACGAAUGCUUCCACUUAUUGAGGGUGUAGAAUUCACGCUUGGUUUUAGUGUAUUGUGGUUUUGAAUGUCAUUUUGUGUAAUGUAAUAUUGAUUUAAUUGUAAUUUUGUGCAUUUUAAGUGAUUAUUUGGGUUUUGAGAAGUGAGGAAAUGAUUUGGCAGGUUUUGUACAGAAUAGGAAGAAUAUAGGAGUUUCAAAAUGGAGGGAUUAAUAGGGAGGGUGGGAAGUAAAUGGGAGGAAAGAAGAAGGAUAAUGUGUCAGUUAAAGAAAGCUUUUAUUAUUUGUUUGAAAUUAGAUGUUUCAUUAGUGGCUGGUUUGCAAAACCAUUUAUAUUGAAAAUUUCCAAAGGCAGUAUUUGCUUGCAGCUUGGGGUUUCAUGGAUACCAUCAUCGAUAUCAUAAUGUCUGUUGAUACGUUGUGAAGUUCCUAAGGAAGGCUUUGAAAUCAAUUUUUUUCAUACUUUAGACUAUUGAUUAAUUGAUAUAGACUAUUGAAUCUAUUUUUGUUAAAUUUAUUGGUUAUCAAAUGGUGUACUUUGUGACAUACUGUGAUAUGAUUUGAGCUAUUUUAUUAAUUUUAAUUUUUCAUUAUCAUAGUGGGAACUUGGAUUAGUCUGAUUGUGUCUAAUUGUUAUACUGUUCUCCAAGAACACAAGGUUGGUCUCCCUCUUUGUUGCAAGAAAUUGGGGGAUGAAUUUGGUUUCAGGGGAAUGUUAUUCUUUUUUAUUCUUAUACUGCAGAGGAAAAAAAAAACAAUGCAUUGGGUGCAGUAGCGGAGCCGACGAUGCGAGAGCAGAAGGGGAGCAAGCAUGUGAGGAACUCUGGUUGUGGGAGGAAGAAGCCGGUUCCUUGCUAUUUUUAGGUAUACGAGUAUGUGCCUUGAUUGCAUGUUCAAAGUCUAAUUAGUUAUAUAAAUUUUUUAUUUAUCUUUGCAAAGCUUUCGUACUUGGAUUUUUAAUAUGUGAUUGGUUUGUGAAAAAUAAACGAGAAGACUAAUCAUGGGGACAUUCUUAUUCAACUUAAAUGUGUUUUAUU